rnacentral:rRNA from 1 species
AUUGAACGCUGGCGGCAGGCCUAACACAUGCAAGUCGAGCGAGCGGCGGACGGGUGAGUAAUGUAUGGGGAUCUGCCCGAUGGAGGGGGAUAACUACUGGAAACGGUGGCUAAUACCGCAUACCAUCGGAUGAACCCAGAUGGGAUUAGCUAGUAGGUGGGGUAACGGCUCACCUAGGCGACGAUCCCUAGCUGGUCUGAGAGGAUGACCAGCCACACUGGAACUGAGACACGGUCCAGACUCCUACGGGAGGCAGCAGUGGGGAAUAUUGCACAAUGGGCGCAAGCCUGAUGCAGCCAUGCCGCGUGUAUGAAGAAGGCCUUAGGGUUGUAAAGUACUUUCAGCGGGGAGGCGUUACUCGCAGAAGAAGCACCGGCUAACUCCGUGCCAGCAGCCGCGGUAAUUC